CAUUGAACAUGCGUAUUGUUUGUUAUUAUACAUAUUAUAAAAUUUUAUUAUACUGGAUUCGGUAGACAAAAAACGUCUUAAGUUUGUGCACCAAUUAGGUUUUAAACCAAGAUGAGUGGAUCUAAGCGGAGCAUGAUCAACAACAACCAAAGGCUCCAUCGUGUUCAUCGUUAUCGAUAUAAGUUGUUCGCCAGCCCUUGUAUACCAGGGCUCCACUACACUUAAUCGUGUUAUCGCGUCCAACCGAAGAAAACAAUUUAUAUUCAAACCAAUCGCAACAGUGCAAAAUCUUCGAUUUCGUUUAAUUUGAUAAAUGAAAUGUUACUUUUUUAUUUGGUUUGUUAAUAACAUGUAUUGCUGUCUAUAAUAAAUCUGACGAAGAGUAUUUAUCAGUCUUUUAAAGCGUCAAA